AGAGUUUGAUCCUGGCUCAGGAUGAACGCUAGCGGCAGGCCUAAUACAUGCAAGUCGAACGGUCAGCAAUGACAGUGGCGCACGGGUGCGUAACGCGUAUGCAACCUACCCAUCAAAGGGGGAUAGCCCGGGGAAACCCGGAUUAAUACCGCAUAAGAUAGUAUUCUGGCAUCAGAGAGCUAUUAAACAUUUAUGGUUGAUGGAUGGGCAUGCGUUAGAUUAGCUAGUUGGUGUAGUAACGGUGCACCAAGGCAAUGAUCUAUAGGGGUUCUGAGAGGAAGAUCCCCCACACUGGUACUGAGAUACGGACCAGACUCCUACGGGAGGCAGCAGUAGGGAAUAUUGGGCAAUGCUCGCAAGAGUGACCCAGCCAUGCCGCGUGCAGGAAGAAGGCCUUCUGGGUUGUAAACUGCUUUUGGAAGGGAACAAAAUGGGCAUGCGUGCCAACUUGAGUGUACCUUCAGAAUAAGCACCGGCUAACUCCGUGCCAGCAGCCGCGGUAAUACGGAGGGUGCAAGCGUUGUCCGGAUUUAUUGGGUUUAAAGGGUGCGUAGGCGGCUUAUUAAGUCAGGGGUGAAAGACUAUUGCUUAACAAUGGCAGUGCCUUUGAUACUGAUAGGCUUGAGUACAGCUGAGGCAGAUGGAACGGGUGGUGUAGCGGUGAAAUGCAUAGAUACCAUCCAGAACACCGAUUGCGAAGGCAGUCUGCUAAACUGUAACUGACGCUGAGGCACGAAAGCGUGGGGAUCGAACAGGAUUAGAUACCCUAGUAGUCC
rnacentral:rRNA from 1 species